rnacentral:rRNA from 1 species
UGAAAGAUGAUCAGGUUGAUAGGUCUGAGGUGGAAGUGUGGCAACACAUGGAGCUGACAGAUACUAAUCGAUCGAGGACUUAACCAUAUUU